GGGAGAAGAGGCCAGCGCACCAAGGCUGGGAGUUGGGGCGACAUUCCUCGGCCCCGAUGGCACGGGUGUCUGCCCCGCUGUGCCCUGCAGGACAGAUGGAUCAGUCGCCAGCAAGACUUCCUGCAGGGUACGCUGUGCAGACUCAUCUGUGGAUGCCCUCAGCAGGUCACCCAGGCAGGGCUCGACCCAUAGGACGGAGAUAGUAAUUGAUACUAAGCAGAACCCAAGGAGAACCGGCAUGAGGUGCUGGCUGGCACAGAGACGCAUCAAAGAAUCACACUGCCCUCUGGCGGCCAAAGCACAGCCCACCGCUCCUCCUACAGGAAGCCCUCCUGGACGUCCACAACCCCAUGGCAACUGGGAGCGUUUUACCGAUUCAAAUGCCUCUUCCCUCCCCCGCCCCUCAGGACCUGACCCCACAGCCCCUCCGUGGUGUUCCCCAAGGGUUCCUCCUACUUGCUGUUCCCGCAGUGAGCGGCCGUGAGCACCCAACUCUUGUCCACCAGGACGCCCGCACAGUGGAACGAGAGGCCGUUGAAGAGUGAGACCUGCCAGGGCUGCGAGCCGCGCGGGCACGGGACGCUGGAGGCCGCGAGGUCCCGGGCGGUGCCGUUUGCGAGGAGCAGCCCCGCCUCUGUGGCUGCAGGAGAAGGAGCGAUCAGAGCAGGGCGACUGCCCGGCCCGGGCGUUUUGAGCGACCCCCCGGAGGGUUAGCAGAAAGGAAGAUGGGUGGGGGAACCCCGGGAGAGGACCCAGGGGAAAAAUCAAGGGGCGCGGUCAUUCUUCAGUGCAACGCCAGGAGCGACCCCGAGCAUCGCUGAGUGUGACCCCCCCCAACUCUCCCCCCUAGUAAAAUAAAAUAAAACGGGGCUGAUGUUCUG